AAUAUGGGACAAUGGGCGAAAGCCUGAUCCAGCCAUGCCGCGUGUGUGAAGAAGGUCUUCGGUUUGUAAAGCACUUUACGUUGGGAGGAAGGGCAGCAAGUUAAUACCUUGCUGUUUUGACGUUACCGACAGAAUAAGCACCGGCUAACUUCGUGCCAGCAGCCGCGGUAAUACGAAGGGUGCAAGCGUUAAUCGGAAUUACUGGGCGUAAAGCGUGCGUAGGUGGUUUGUUAAGUUGGAAGUGAAAGCCCCGGGCUCAACCUGGGAACUGCUUUCAAAACUGGCAAGCUAGAGUAUGGCAGAGGGUGGUGGAAUUUCCUGUGUAGCGGUGAAAUGCGUAGAUAUAGGAAGGAACACCGAUAGCGUAGGCAGCUUACUAGACUGUAACUGACGCUGAGGCACGAAAGUGUGGGGAUCAAACAGG
rnacentral:rRNA from 1 species